GCCUGGCUGGCUCAGUUGGUGGGGUGUGCGACUCUUGAUCUCAAGGUUGUGGGUUCAAGCCCCACCCUGGGUG
rnacentral:tRNA from 1 species